GGAAUAUUGGUCAAUGGAGGCAACUCUGAACCAGCCAUGCCGCGUGCAGGAAGAAUGCCCUAUGGGUUGUAAACUGCUUUUAUUUAGGAAGAAUCCCUUCUACGUGUAGAAGGUUGACGGUACUAAACGCAUACGGACCGGCUAACUCCGUUCCCGCAGCCGCGGUAAUACGGAGGGUCCAAGCGUUAUCCGGAAUCAUUGGGUUUAAAGGGUCCGCAGGCGGACUAAUAAGUCAGUGGUGAAAUCUCUCAGCUUAACUGGGAAACUGCCAUUGAUACUGUUAGUCUUGAAUCCGGUCGAAGUGGGCGGAAUGUGUCAUGUAGCGGUGAAAUGCAUAGAUAUGACACAGAACACCGAUAGCGAAGGCAGCUCACUAGGCCUGAAUUGACGCUCAGGGACGAAAGCGUGGGGAGCG
rnacentral:rRNA from 1 species